GACAGAGGUGCCAAGCGUUAGGCGGAAUCACUGGGCUUAAAGCGUGUGUAGGCGGAUUUGUAAGUACCUUGUGAAAUCCCACGGCUCAACCGUGGAACUGCUCGGUAUACUGCGAGUCUUGAGCCACUUAGGGGCUACCGGAACAAAUGGUGGAGCGGUGAAAUGCGUAGAUAUCAUUUGGAACGCCAAUGGUGAAAACAGGUUGCUGGGAGUGCGCUGACGCUGAGACACGAAAGCCAGGGGAGCGAACGGG
rnacentral:rRNA from 1 species